rnacentral:rRNA from 1 species
GGCUCAGGAUGAACGCUAGCGACAGGCCUAACACAUGCAAGUCGAGGGGCAGCACAAGGAGCAAUCUGAGGUGGCGACCGGCGCACGGGUGAGUAACACGUAUGCAACCUGCCUGUAAGCGGGGAAUAACCCGUUGAAAGACGGACUAAUACCGCAUAAUACUAAAUUACUGCAUGGUAAUUUAUUUAAACAUUUAUGGCUUACAGAUGGGCAUGCGCAUGAUUAGCUAGUUGGAGAGGUAACGGCUCCCCAAGGCAACGAUCAUUAGGGGUUCUGAGAGGAAGGUCCCCCACACUGGUACUGAGACACGGACCAGACUCCUACGGGAGGCAGCAGUGAGGAAUAUUGGUCAAUGGACGAGAGUCUGAACCAGCCAAGUCGCGUGCAGGAAGAAUGUCCUAUGGAUUGUAAACUGCUUUUGCAGGGGAAUAAAGUGCAUCACGUGUGAUGUUUUGUAUGUACUCUGCGAAUAAGGAUCGGCUAACUCCGUGCCAGCCGCCGC